CAACAACAUUGAAUAUUUUGUGACUGAAACUUUAAAACAUAAUAAAUUCAAAGUAUGUCAUUUUAUCAUAAGGAUAAACAUAUUAGAAGCAAUUCAAGAAUCACAAGCCUGGUUAAAAAUUAAAAAGUAAAUUCAUAUGGAAACUUGCAACAACAUUGAACAAUUUGUAACUGAAGCUGUAAAUCAAAAAUAAUUUGAAAUGUGAUAUUUGAUGAGAAGGAACAUACAUUGAGUAAUUUUGACGAAUACAGACAUUCUGAAGGAAUCAUAUGUUAUGAAGAAGAGGAAAUUAUAAUAAUCAAUGAUGAUUGUGUUUGAAUAUUUCCAAUUUUAGUUAUUUUGUACAAUAACGAAAAUCACAUUUUAUGUUGUAUCAAACAGAUUAAUUGAAACAAAACUUAUUCAAACCAUCAAACACCCUCCUCAUUCUUGUGAGGAUGUUUCUCGUAUUAUGUUCCAGUGGCGAGAAUGAUGAAUAGCUAGAAGUAUCAACUAAUUCUACUGAAAAGGACAUGUAAAAGCGAUGGUCGAAUGGUGAAGGAAUAUUUCAGCAGAAUCUAAUCCUCUGCCACACAUCAAAAAAAUGAUGAAAUUCUUCACAGAGAACCAAAUAACCGUGCUGGACUGAACAGAUAGACAAUCUGUAAGAAUCGGCUACCACAGUUGAUUGAAAUACUCAUUUCGUCCAUAAUUGAGGUAUGGUUUCGAGACCACAUUCUUCAUCGAAAAAGGAAUCAUCUUUGAGUCUAAAGAAAGUCAUAUAUAGUCAAAUAAAAGUAUAUCUAUCUGUACGAUCCAUAUGUAAU